AGCUUUGCACAGUGGCAGUCUCAUAGCCAAUGAGGUUUAUUUGAGGCACGAUUACUGCUAAUUAAAAACUUUUCCCUAGAUCUAGAUCCUUGAGGAAUCGCCAUACUGUUUUCCAUAAUGGUUGAACUAGUUUACAAUCC
ensembl:snRNA U4 U4 spliceosomal RNA